UAAAAAUGUAAAAAAAUAUGUUUUUUCAGCCGUGACAAAUCAAAAGAACUUGCUAAUAAUUAUAGCUCUCACUGCUGAUGACGUCAGUGAGGUCUGGUUGACAGCUCUACAAAAAUCCAUCAGUCAGAGUUCAGGACUCCUCUCAUGCCCUCCCUCCAGACAGCAGCAUCUCGUCCGUCUCGGGGCAGGUGAGGAGCAAACGCCACUUCUAACCUGCGAAGGAUGCUGCUCUGGUCGCCACGGGUUACCGCCUCCCGGAGACGUCGCAAUAUCAACCGAACCAUCACCUGAUUGGCCCAGGCCAAACCCAGAGCAGGGGACACGCUGGAGGAUGAAGGACUGAGACAGACACAGAGAAGAGCCAAAUAUAAAACACAGUAUGCUAAUUAGAAAAAAAUAAAUGCACACAAUUUGUUAAACACUGUUUUUAUACUGAUCUUAAAUGAGGAGAAAUAUGCAGACUGACAGCAUUAGUUUUAUGUAUUUUAAGAAGAUAUCACAGAAAUCGAUCAUCUCAUUCAAUAAAACAUGUUUAGUUUCAUUUGAAUUAA